rnacentral:misc_RNA from 1 species
UAGGUCUUGUGCGGACGAAGAGCAAUUGGAUAUGUAAAGGUAAGGUCUUUGGGGUUUGAUGGGGAUUAAUGGGGAGAAACAAGGAGUUCGCCAAGAAAUGGAGGAAGGGGAUAGUAAAACGGGAGUUGUCGAAUGGUGGUGAAGGGGAAACAAAGUGGAUGAUGAAGAAGGAAAUAGGGAUGGAGAACAUAGUAAGCGAAGUAACGCCAUUGAUGAAGUGGAAGAGCUGUGUAAAUGGGGCUAUUCAAAGGCAGCUGCAGUUGGGGGAUAGUUUACGACUGGA